GGUUUCCAAACUUGGUUGCACAUUAGAAUCACCUGGGGAGCUUUCAAAACUCCUUAUGCCCGAGUCCCCACACCAAUUAAUUCAGAACCUGAGAGGGCUGGCAUCACUGUUUUUAAAGAUAUCCAGGGGGUUCUAAUGAGCAGCCAAGUUUGGGGACCACUUUAACCACCCUGCCCCCAGCCAACUUCCUGACCACUGAGGAUUUGCCUUUAGGCCUGUCAGGAGGCAGGACGGAAGCUCAGAGAAGAGGGGGCCACGUGCCCAGUCACCCAGCUCCAAAGUUAGCAGAACCAGGACUAAAACCCAAGACUUUGGAGUUCUCAAGCAAACGUUCUGGCCUCUGAGGAUAAGGCCUCUGAGACAAGGAUUAAUUAACCAUCGGGGACUGCGUAAAGACUUCCCCAAAGCUAGAAAGCCUCCAGCUGCCGCUCCCACCAUCCACCUCUCUCCUCUGUGGACCCAAGGCUCACCCUCCCCCGCUGUCUGAUCACACACGCACACGCUGUCACACUCACACCGCUCCUUGCUCCUCCUGUCCCCAAGCUGGAAUGCCUUCCUCCUCCCAUAUCCAUUCUCCAGGAUCCCCCAGGCCUUGCCUCCCUGGCGAGUCUGCAGGGCCCAGAGGGUCGCACGUUGUCCGUGCUUACUGACCCC
rnacentral:lncRNA from 1 species